CCAAAAAAAAAAAAAACAAAUCGGUGUGUGUUCAAUUUUGAUCAAACAACGAAAAAUCUCUGUGUUGUUGGCAAAUCUCCGGCGAGAUCAUCUUCUUUGUUUUUAUUAGUACAGUGUUUUUCCGACAUGGCUGCCGCGAAACUCGUGGCUUUGUUACUAUUUCUCGCCUUGGUUUUCAAUUUCACCGUUUGUGUCUUUGCCGACGCUGGAAUCGACGGCGGCGAAGUAACGAAACCCCGAUCCGACGGUGGUGAAAUCGAAUUGGAUCAGCUUAAUGCUAAAAUCCGUGCCCUAGAAUCUCAAAUUGAUGAGAAAACCAAAGAACUUAAAGGGAGAGAGGAGUUAGUAGCAGAGAAGGAGAAGCUUCUUCAAGAGAAGCAAGACAAAGUUGCUUCUUUGGAGACUGAGGUUUCAUCUCUAAGGAAAAAAGGUUCAUCAGAUUCUGUGGAACUGUUGAGUAAAGCUCAAGCACGAGCUGAUGAAUUAGAGAAGCAGGUUGAGGUACUCAAGAACUUUCUGGAGCAAAAGGACAAGGAGAAAGAAUCGACAGAAGCGCGGAGUAUUGCAGCCGAGAAAAAGCUGAAUGAAUUGAACUCGAGAGUGGAGAAACUUCACAAGACAAAAGAAGAGCAGAAGAGCAAAAUUCGAAAACUUGAGCGAGCUCUUAAAAUUUCAGAGGAAGAAAUGCUGCGGACAAAGCAUGAAGCAACCACAAAGGCUAGGGAACUGAUGGACGUUCAUGGUGCAUGGCUUCCUCCUUGGCUUGUUGUACACUGGACUAAAUUUCAGACUGUUGCUGGGAUACAUUGGGACGCCCACGGAAAACCAGUUAUGGAGAAAGUAACUCAUAAGGUGACACAUGCGAAAAAUCAAGCUGACAAAUGGGCUAAACCACACAUAGCUAAUAUUAAAAAUAAAUAUAUUCCAGCCAUAAAAGAGACUGUUAAAACACAUGUUGAGCCACACGUGCAAACACUAUCUACCAAAGCGAAAGAGGCUUACCAUGCUUCCAAGACUGCAGUUACCCCACAUAUUGUUAAAUUUCAAGGACAUGUAGAUCCCUAUUACCAGGAGGCUAAAAAGUUUAGCAAGCCAUAUGUUGAUCAAGUAGCCACGGCCACAAAACCACAUGUUGAUAAGGUGAGAGCUACCAUGAAGCCUUACACAAAGAAGGCUAUUCACUUCUACAAAGAGUUCCUAAAAUCUGCCUCAACGUAUCACCAUCAGCUUCAAGCCAAUGUCGAAAGCAAAUUGAAGAGCCAUGAGCUGUUGGAACCUUUUGCCACCAAAGAGUUCAUUUGGUUUACGGCCUCUGCUUUGUUGGCAUUACCCAUCUUCAUAGUAUACAGAUUUCUGUGUUCGCUCGUCUGCACAAAGACAAAGAAACCUUCCCGGCAGCCUCAUCACAAUACUCGCCGUAAGGCCAAAAGGGGUCAUUCUGAUAAGUGAAGUCGCAUGCAGGCCUCAGUUGUCGCUUCCUCGUACUAUAAAUAUUAGAGGUAAAGACGGAUUUUGAUGCGUUCUCUUUGAGCCUCAGCAACAGUCUAUAUGUUUUCUUCGUUAUGUAUGGAAAGAAACAGCUUAUGUUAGAGGUAUCUUAUGGUUUAAGCUCGCUGUGCAAAGGUGUUUCUUCACUCUCUAUCUAUCUCUCUCUCUCUCUGUUUUUGAGAUGCCUUUUGGAUAUAAAAUUUUCAGUCUUUUUAUACAGAGAAGAUUAGACAUCUAGAGGAAAUCUAGUAAAGGCUUGGUUUGUGUAUUUUGUGAUUUAUGUGGAUAAUAGAUUUGGGACUUGCUCCA